GCCUCACUAGCACAAUGGUUAGUACUUAUCCCCGAACAGGUUGAGACGCGGGUUCGAAUCCCGCGUGUGAUG
rnacentral:tRNA from 1 species